GGAAGGAUCAUUAACACGUAUCCAACGUUAAACCCCCCUGUGAACCUUCAUUGUGCUCCCCCAUUCCGUUAGGACGCGGCAAUCCCUGGUAAAUCAUCGCCGAACAGUUUUGAUUCAGGGACCUCUGCAUGGAGUGGGCUUGCAGCGCGAGGCAAGUGGCCUGGCAUUCCUCUGCUUGUUGGUGUCUGAAAGUGUCACUAGCUCUGUAAGAAUGGAGCAGUAACGAUCGCUAGAGGCCGACACGGCCGGCGACCGGGUCACUGGGCUCACGCCCCCCUAUCACCUUUGCAUGAAAACGGGCCUGCGCUUAAUUGUGCGGCCACCAAACUCGAACAACUGUUAACAAUGGAUAUCUUGGUUCUCGCAACGAUGAAGAACGCAGCGAAAUGCGAUACGUAAUGCGAAUUGCAGAAUUCAGUGAAUCAUCGAAUCUUUGAACGCAAAUUGCGCUCUCGGGUUACCCCCAAGAGCACACCUCUCUGAGUGUCGGUUUAACCUCAUGUCACCAAUUUAUUGGUGUACGACUGUCUGAGGGUAAGGAGCCUCGUGCUUCUUUCCCUUUAAAUCUCAGCCGCACGACUGUGUGUGUUCGUGGCAAGUUGCUUUCACUUAACUGUGAAUCCAAUCCGCAAACCCUAUGUCGAGUAGCCAAAAGAAACAUAUGAAACAAGGAUGUGAACUGAAAAGUGUUGCCUUUGUCGCUGAUGGGAUGAAUGGAUGGGACGAGUGGGUUGGAAGUGGUGACUGAGUUGUUGUGAAAGUGUUCAACUCGGAUGCUGUUUUUGGCACAAUUGACCUGUUUGUUUGACCUGUUUGUGAUUGAGGUGGCGUUUUUGAGGGAACGGCUUUGUGUCAUCUAUGAAUUAGACCUCAGAUGAAGUGGGAAUACCCCCUGAAUUUAAGCAUAUUAUUAAGGGGAGGAAAAGAAACUAACAAGGAUUCCCCUAGUAACGGCGAGUGAAGCGGGAAGAGCUCAAAUUUAAAAUCCACUGGUCUAACAGCCUGUGGAGUUGUAAUCUAGAGAGGCUCUCUCAGUGCCAGCCUGGUUAUAAGUCCCUUGAAACGGGGCAUCAAAGAGGGUGAGAAUCCCGUAUUUGAGCCGGAGCUAAGUACGUACGAGGAGUUUUCUAAGAGUCGCGUUGCUUGGGAGUGCAGCGCUAAAUGGGUGGUAAAGUUCAUCUAAAGCUAAAUACUGGCGAGAGACCGAUAGCGAACAAGUACCGUGAGGGAAAGAUGAAAAGAACUUUGAAAAGAGAGUUAAAAAGUACUUGAAAUUGUUAACAGGGAAGGGGAGUCAACCAGUCAUUUCUAAGCCUCAUUCGCCUUUCCUUCGGGAGGGGUUACUUGAGGCUAAGGAGAGUCAGCAUCUCUUAGUUGUCUUCGCAGAAACUGUGUGAGUUGGUGCGUUUCUUCGGAUUCGUUUAACUUGUGUAGCCUACGUUGAUGCUGGGAGAGGAGUGAUAACCCCCCACCUUCGGGUGUCGGUACUCUGAGGUCUGUUUGCCCUAGCGCGUGAGAGAACAAAGUUCUGUCUGUGCGAAAGGUGAAUACUGCUUUGGAUGUGCCAGAUGGUGGGUUCGCGAUGCAGACGAAAUGGUUGUCUUCCACCCGUCUUGAAACACGGACCAAGGAGUCUAACAUAUAUGCGAGUAUUUGGGUGACAAACCCUGAUGCGUAAUGAAAGUAAAGAGCCGAAAAGGCUUGAGGUAGGAAUCCUGCCUUCGGGUGGGAGGCACUAUCGACCGAUCGUUCGCUUGCGGAAGAUUUGAGUAAUAGCAUAUCUGUUGGGACCCGAAAGAUGGUGAUCUAUGCCUGAACAGGGUGAAGCCAGGGGAAACUCUGGUGGAAGCUCGUAGCGAUACUGACGUGCAAAUCGUUCGUCUGAUUUGGGUAUAGGGGCGAAAGACUAAUCGAACCAUCUAGUAGCUGGUUCCCUC
rnacentral:misc_RNA from 1 species